GACCAUACCCACCCUUCCAACGGCACGUCUAUUUCACGUGCCCUUCCUGCCUCCACUUCCUUACUCUUCUCCCACGUCACCUCCACCUACCGCCGGCGAACUCGUCCCCGUCGCUCUCCAAUCUUCCCACCGGAGAUGACGACAGAGGGUCUGGUGCCGAUCACGCGGGACUACCUCGCGCGCUACUACGACAAGUACCCGCUGCCCCCGAUCCCCGACGGCGUAACCGCCCUCGCUGCCCGCCUCCGCGCUCUGUCCGCCGAACUCGCCGCCGCCUCUCCCUUCUCCCCCGAGGAGGAGCACUUGGAACAAGAGGCAUCUGUUGUACCUGCCCAUAAAAUAGAUGAGAACAUGUGGAAGAACAGAGAACAGAUGGAAGAGAUUCUGUUUCUGCUUAAUAAAUCUCGUCGUCCAGUUGCUCUUCAACAGAAGUCCACACCAGAAGACGCUGAGAUAGUUUCCACACUUGAUGAUUGUGAAACUAAAUUGAAAGAGAUGUUGAAGAAGUUAGAACAGUUUCAGCUAAAAAAUGCUGAUAAUGUUUUCAAUACAGUUAUGACAUACAUGCCACAAGACUUCCGCGGUACACUGAUCAGGCAACAGCGAGAACGCUCUGAGAGAAAUAAGCAAGCGGAGGUUGAUGCUGUAGUUAGUGCUGGUGGAAGCAUUCAUGAUAGAUACGCAUUGCUAUGGAAGCAGCAAAUGGAUAGGCGGGUGCAAUUAGCGCAGCUUGGUUCUGCAACAGGUGUAUAUAAGACACUUGUUAGGUACUUGGUUGGUGUUCCACAGGUGUUAUUGGAUUUUAUUCGACAAAUAAAUGAUGCUAAUGGACCUAUGGAAGUGCAAAGAGAACGCUAUGGGCCAGCACUAUACACACUUACAAAACUGGUGCUUGCAGUUCGGUUGUAUCUACAUCUCUCUUUGGCACGAUUUGGACAGAAGAAAAUAGGGAAGGAUGACAUUGCUGUGUUGCAUCAGGCAGUGGUUAUAUACACCGAGGAAUUUGGGAAGUUCACUACAUUCAUCGGUGAGGUUUUUGUGAAUGCCCCAUUCUUCAUAUCUGCUGAGGAUGCAGGUGCUGAUUCGAGGAAAAACGAUGAGUACCGAGAAACCAUUAUUCCAGCGGGAAAGACACAUGAGGUUAUUUUAAGUGUUGAGGCUGUCAACUCAUAUAUUGCAUGGGAUUUCUCGUUGCAACAAGGGGCCCUCAGCACACUGCUGAUGAGCGCUUUUGAGGCUCCGAUGGAGCUCAACGUCCACCUCCGUGCUUUUGACGGUGACCCUCUAUUUGACCUGAUGUGCUGCCGUCAUCUUGUUGGGAGUCUUGUCUAUCUAGCUGUUACUCAUUUGGAUAUUUCCUCAUCCCAUUCACAUUCUGAGUCGGAUAUUGGCUUUCAUGUGGAGUACAUAAGCCCGUCGCGGGAGAAAACGUUGAUUCUUCCCUACCGACGUUAUGAAGCUGACCAAGUGAGUUCACUUUAAUGCUUAUCCUCUUUUGCUUCGAAACAUUCUACUUUUCAGGGUAACUUUUGCACUGUUUUCGCUGGAUCGUACAAGCUUGUAUGGGACAAUUCAUAUUCAACAUUCUUCAAAAAGACCCUCCGGUACAAGGUGGAUGCAGUGCCUCCGGUCACUGAGACAGAGUAGCCGUGCAGAUACAGCCGAAGCCCUUAUACCAUGUUGUAACCUUAUUCUUUUGCCGACUGUGUUGCGGCAAUUCUAAUCGCCGGGUUUCAACGAUCAUACACUACACGUGGUAGCCCACUGGUGUAUGAGAUGCAGAAUAUGUAUCUUUGUGUGCAAAUAUGUUUACGAUGACCUGCUGAUGCAUGAAUGCAUCUGUACUAGAAGCAUUACCUUUUUUUUUAUAAUCACAAAGAAGCAUUAUUUGACUGACAAA